CUAACUUGCCUUCUAACAUCUUCACAGUAAUGAGCCUGAUCUCAUUUCAGAUCUGAUGUUUCCCCUUUAGCCAGCUUACAUCACCUUUGUUUUGUCUCCACCUCAAGUCAGUCCACUCUUGUUACAAUGCUUGGAAAACAUCCCCUUCACACAGAGUCUGCAUGUCCUUACGAACCUUAUGCUAUGUAUUGGUCUGUUUAUAUUUCUCAGUCUAGGUUAUCUUUUCAUUUUUGCAUCAACAGUUCUACAAUUUACAUGCUGGUAAGAAAGAUAAAAGAUGAGAUUUACUAUAAAUACAGAUGGAGUUCCCUCUUGUUGUCCAGGCUGGAGUACAAUGGUGCGAUCUUGGCUCACCACAACCUCUGCCUCCCGAGUUCAAGCAUUCUCCUUGCCUCAGUCUCCCAAGUAGCUGUGAUUACAGGCACGCAUCACUAUGCCAGAAGAAAUGACACUCUUUUUCUGAGAAACUACAAUGUGUGGACAUAGGAGCUGUCUUUGUGAAGGUAAUUUUCAAAAUCAUGUUGACUUAACCCAAUUAAUGCUGUAAUUAUGAAAUAUCCUCACGAGUAGGC
rnacentral:lncRNA from 1 species